rnacentral:misc_RNA from 1 species
GAUGAAGAACGUAGCGAAAUGCGAUAAGUAGUGUGAAUUGCAGAAUUCAGUGAAUCAUCGAAUCUUUGAACGCACAUUGCGCCCUUUGGUAUUCCUUAGGGCAUGCCUGUUCGAGCGUCAUUUAAACCCUUCAAGCUCAGCUUGGUGUUGGGUGACUGUCCGCCGCCCCCGGGCGCGGACUCGCCCCAAAUUCAUUGGCGGCCGGUACGUAGGCUUCGAGCGCAGCAGAAACGCGAACUCGGGCCCGCGGUGUCGGCUCCCAGAAGCCAUCUCUUUUAUUUUGACCUCGGAUCAGGUAGGGAUACCCGCUGAACUUAAGCAUAUCAAUAAGCGGGGA